rnacentral:rRNA from 1 species
UGAGGAAUAUUGGUCAAUGGGCGGGAGCCUGAACCAGCCAAGCCGCGUGAGGGAAGAAGGCCCUAUGGGUCGUAAACCUCUUUUGUCAGGGAACAAAAGCGAGUAUGUAUACUAGUCUGAGUGUACCUGAAGAAAAAGCAUCGGCUAACUCCGUGCCAGCAGCCGCGGUAAUACGGAGGAUGCGAGCGUUAUCCGGAUUUAUUGGGUUUAAAGGGUGCGUAGGCGGCGAUGCAAGUCAGCGGUAAAAGCCCGGGGCUCAACCCCGGCGAGCCGUUGAAACUGCAGUGCUAGAGAAGGCGAGAGGUACGCGGAAUGCGCAGUGUAGCGGUGAAAUGCUUAGAUAUUGCGCAGAACUCCGAUUGGCGAAGGCAGCGUACUGGCGCCUGACUGACGCUGAGGCACGAAAGCGUGGGGAUCGAACAGGAUUAGAUACCC